UUAACAAAAAUACCAAAUAUAAACAGAACAGAAAGGUAGUCAAAAAUCGUAGUCAAAAGAGCAAACACGGGUCAUACACGGAAAAAUACAGACAGAAAGGUCCGCCAUCUCCACCAACAGCAGUGAGAUCCAAGGCUCACUGGGAUACAGUGCCAUGUGGUGAGUAUGUUAAAGCAUGAAUGAGCUUUCCUGAAAAAAAAAGAAAAUAUUUAUUUUUUUAUU
rnacentral:lncRNA from 1 species